AAUGAACGCUGGCGGCGUGCGUAACACAUGCAAGUCGAACGAGAAAUUCCGGGCUUGCUCGGGAGAGUAAAGUGGCGAACGGGUGAGUAACGCGUGGGUAACCUGCCCCUGAAUCUGGAAUAACUUCGCGAAAGCGAGGCUAAUACCGGAUGUUGUCCCAGGGACUGUGGUCCUUGUGAUGAAAGAUGACCUCUUCACGAAAGUUGUCGUUCAGGGAGGGGCCCGCGUACCAUUAGCUAGUUGGUAGGGUAACGGCCUACCAAGGCGAUGAUGGGUGGCGGGUCUGAGAGGAUGACCAGCCACACUGGCACUGAAACACGGGCCAGACUCCUACGGGAGGCAGCAGUGAGGAAUUUUGCGCAAUAGGGGAAACCCUGACGCAGCAACGCCGCGUGAGUGAAGAAGGCCUUCGGGUCGUAAAGCUCUGUCAAGUGGGAAAAAAGCUUCCUGGUGAAUAGCCAGGAAGACUGAUGGUACCAUUGAAGGAAGCACCGGCUAACUCCGUGCCAGCCGCCGCGGUAAAAC
rnacentral:rRNA from 1 species